CCUACGGGUGGCAGCAGUGGGGAAUAUUGGACAAUGGGCGAAAGCCUGAUCCAGCCAUGCCGCGUGUGUGAAGAAGGCCUUCGGGUUGUAAAGCACUUUCAGUGGGGAAGAAAGCCUUGGGGCUAAUACCCUCGAGGAAGGACAUCACCCACAGAAGAAGCACCGGCUAACUCCGUGCCAGCAGCCGCGGUAAUACGGAGGGUGCGAGCGUUAAUCGGAAUUACUGGCGUAAAGCGCGCGUAGGCGGUCUGAUAAGCCGGUUGUGAAAGCCCCGGGCUCAACCUGGGAACGGCAUCCGGAACUGUCAGGCUAGAGUGCAGGAGAGGAAGGUAGAAUUCCCGGUGUAGCGGUGAAAUGCGUAGAGAUCGGGAGGAAUACCAGUGGCGAAGGCGGCCUUCUGGACUGACACUGACGCUGAGGUGCGAAAGCGUGGGUAGCAAACAGGAUUAGAUACCCGAGUAGUC
rnacentral:rRNA from 1 species